rnacentral:rRNA from 1 species
UGGGGAAUUUUGGACAAUGGGCGAAAGCCUGAUCCAGCAAUGCCGCGUGUGUGAAGAAGGCCUUCGGGUUGUAAAGCACUUUUGUCCGGAAAGAAAUCCUUGGCUCUAAUACAGUCGGGGGAUGACGGUACCGGAAGAAUAAGCACCGGCUAACUACGUGCCGGCAGCCGCGGUAAUACGUAGGGUGCAAGCGUUAAUCGGAAUUACUGGGCGUAAAGCGUGCGCAGGCGGUUUGCUAAGACCGAUGUGAAAUCCCCGGGCUCAACCUGGGAACUGCAUUGGUGACUGGCAGGCUAGAGUAUGGCAGAGGGGGGUAGAAUUCCACGUGUAGCAGUGAAAUGCGUAGAGAUGUGGAGGAAUACCGAUGGCGAAGGCAGCCCCCUGGGCCAAUACUGACGCUCAUGCACGAAAGCGUGGGGGAGCAAAACAGGAUUAGAUACCCCUGGGUAGUCCACGCCCUAAACGAUGUCAACUAGUUGUUGGGGGAUUCAUUUCCUUAGUAACGUAGCUAACGCGUGAAGUUGACCGCCUGGGGAGUACGGUCGCAAGAUUAAAA